CCGGCGCUAAACGCCGGGACUGCUUUGGAAACUGUUUAGCUGGAGUGCCGGAGAGGUAAGCGGAAUUCCAAGUGUAGCGGUGAAAUGCGUAGAUAUUAGGAAGAACCCCAGGUGAGAAGGCGGCCUACUGGAGGGUUACUGACGUUGGGGCUUGAAAGCGUGGGGAGCAAACAGGAUUCGAUACCUUGGUAGUCCACGCUGUAAACGAUGAUUGCUAGCUGUAGGUGGGUAUGGACCCAUCGGUGCCGCAGCUAACGCAAUAAGCAAUCCACCUGGGGAGUACGUUCGCAAGAAUGAAACUCAAAGGAAUUGACGGGGACCCGCACAAGCGGUGGAGCAUGUGGUUUAAUUGGAAGCAACGCGAAGAACCUUACCAGGUCUUGACAUCCCGAUGAAAAACCCGUAACGGGGUUCCUUCUUCGGAGCAUCGGAGACAGGUGGUGCAUGGUUGUCGUCAGCUCGUGUCGUGAGAUGUUGGGUUAAGUCCCGCAACGAGCGCAACCCUUAUUCUUAGUAGCCAGCAGGUAAAGCUGGGCACUUUAAGGAGACUGCCGGGGAUAACCCGGAGGAAGGUGGGGAUGACGUCAAAUCAUCAUGCCCCUUAUGAUCUGGGCUACACACGUGCUACAAUGGCGUAACAAAGGGAAGCGAGCCUGCGAGGGUGAGCGAAUCCCAAAAAUAACGUCCCAGUUCGGACUGUAGUUUGCAACCCGACUACACGAAGCUGGAAUCGCUAGUAAUCGCGAAUCAGAAUGUCGCGGUGAAUACGUUCCCGGGUCUUGUACACACCCCCCGUCACACCAUGGGAGUCGGAAAUGCCCGAAGUCUAAGAUUCAACCGCAAGGAGAGAGCAGCCGAAGGCAG
rnacentral:rRNA from 1 species